AGCAAGGAUCCUCCUAGGAAGGAAAGCACUUGCCUCCAUGCAGAGCCCUCUAGCGGUCGGAGUGAGUAACAGCAAUCAAUGCUGGGGCCACAGUGGGCAAUCCCAAGGGGCUACAGAAAAGGCCACCAAUUUUGUUUCAAUUUGGUAAAAGCUUUGGGGGAGAAAACAACAACAACAAAAAGACCUUAAUGAUGUACAUGUGACAUGAGUGUUUAUGUAUAUGGUUACAUACAACUGCAUCAGAGUGUUAAAUCUCUAUUUUUCACGACUGUGACUUUUUAAUUUACAGUGCAAUUAUGUGCUUGGUGUGCUUGUAAAUCCUAGCAUGAUUUAGGAGAGGGAAAGUGAAGAAAUGCCCUGAGUUAUUUUGGUCUCUCUUCUCCUUCCCAUAUCCCAUGAUGCGUAGGUGCCACCCCAUCACAUUUGCCUGCAGAUCUUUUGAGACUGCUUCCCCCCUCUCUCCUUUGCAUCCCAGUCUCUAGUGCCAGCUGCUGGCUUGAGCUUUUGCAGGGAGAGAGGAGCAGGGUGCAAAGAUGUCAUUGUGAAAAAUCCCCCCUAAUGCUGAGCAUUCUCUCUCCUGCUCAGCAGCAUCAGAUGGCAGUAUUACAGUCCCUGGCACAGAGGUACUUCCCCCAGGGGUUACUAUUUCUGCUCAGCUCUGAGACAGUCUAAUGCACUGAAAUCAUGAUCACAUGUACAGCUUUUGUGUGCUGUUUACCAAAAAAAAAAAAAAGCCCUGAAAGGAAAGUAACUUUGGGGGUUAAUGCAUCUCCUUGUGAGCUCCCAUGUGUCUGAGUAUCAAAUUCCUGCGCAAUUAGGUUCCUUUCGUAGGUUCUGGUGUGUAUCCUGCGCAUGCAUCUCCGCAAUGUAUUUUAUCUCGUUCCUUUUAAAAGACAAUUUGGCAAGAAGGCAGCCUUCUCUCAGGUUCUGUGAGAGUAACUUUGGCUUCUUUAUUUAAAUGAGCUCUUUUAUCAUCCUUAACAUUUCAAGCAAUUACCUGUGGGCAGAGCCCAUGCAUCUGCUGAAAGUAUGUGUCUCUUCUCCACUUUAUUCCUAAAUCAAGCCAGCAAGAUGAAUAGUUUAACUUACUUACAGAUAGCAAAGGGGAGGAAUGUGAAGAGAAGGGGACUGAUACACACUUUGAAGGCAUUUCUGGAAUGAAGGAAUGAAGGAAAGAGAGAGAGAGAGAGAGAGAGAGAGAGAGAGAGAGAGAGAGAGAGAGAGAGAAGCUGAUCCCCAAACACUGUACAAGGACUUUGCACCUCUGGAAAGGAUGAUCCUCGCCUGUGUAAUUUACCUACUACUUCCUGGGUCAGUGUGGAGCCUGGCACCUAGAGAGAGCUUAAUAAAUAUCUGUGCAAUGAGUCAGUUAAUAAAUGCCCACAGCUGAGGCUGAGAAUGUAAUCUUUAACAUUAUGAAAAUGGGGAAUUCUAAUGGGAUACCACAGAUCAUCUUCUGCCCUUGGGAUCAUGUUGCAGAUUUCCUUCAAAAUAGUGGCAGUUUUAAGGACUCUGUGCUCUAAUAAAUCCAGUUUCCUUUCAGCAUUUUAAGGGUCCCUACCGCGAGGCAAUGAACUCCAGAGAUUGCACUGACUCAUUUUUCACAGUAUGACUCCUGUUGAGUGAGGCAGAGGCCCUCCUCCGGCAGGAAGUCUCCCAUGUAGCCUGAGAUGGAGAGAAGACUCCAACAUAUGAGCAAUAACAGAAGCUCCCCAGGAGUGUGCGAGAGAAUGAGCCACUUAGGAAGGCCUUGCCACCUCCGUGGGUGGCUCUGAAACACUUACCACAGCCAGAGGAGGAGGUGCCCAGAGGGGCAGGGGUGUGAAGAGGGUGCUGAGUGGUCUGUCCGCAGCCCCCUGUGGAGAGGGGCUGUAGGUAGCACUCCAUGGUGAGGGGUCAGAUUUUCAGGGCAGGGAAGAGGAGCAGUCCACAGUAAUGGUGGUCAACAGAAGGAACUGGGAGUCUAAAGUCCAGGCACUGGAGAAGAUGAGGAAGGCAGAGACUCCAUGCCUGCAGGAGAAGCAGAGGCCCCGUGACUGACGCUAUGAUUCCAUCUGCCUGCUGGGACUCGAACCUGGAAAACGCAUCCCAGCAGGGGAAAGACGCUGCGAGGCACAGUCGGGACAUAGACGUGCUGGAUCCAGAGGCUGCAGCAAUACCCACCCACCCCCCCAACUCUGAGUCUUUCCAUUUGAGGCCUUUUUUAUGCGCAGGCCAAAGAAGACCCAGUGCCAACAGGUUACAUGGUGAGCACAUGCUCACAAGCAGAUAUUUGCAACCCUGAGUACCUAUGCCGAAUUCGGGUGUUUAUGACCUUGACUGCAUGCUAAAACACAGCUGGUCAGAAGUCUUGUUGGAGGAGCACAGCCAUAGCCAUCUGGGGCUUGCGGAACUGAAGAGGCCUGGGAGACUUCUGGUUUCACCAACUAUGACAUUAACCGUUAUAUUCACCAACCGUCACAUUCCCUGACAUGUUCACGGGGGGGGGGGGGUUCGGUUCCCAUCUUCCAGACAAUGGACAGUCAUAGAGCAAAAGGCUUCCUUCCCCUGUCUCCAGAACUCCUCAGACAUUUUAAAAUACCAAAUAAAAACCCACAAUGCUUGCCCACAAAGUUAUGUUAAGAGUUUUAAAUUUCCAGAAAAUAAAUUAAGCAACAUUUAUUCAAAAUGGAGAGAGUAGACCUGCUGA